rnacentral:tRNA from 1 species
GCUUCUAUAGCUCAAUUGGUAGAGCAAUUCACUUGUAAUGAAAAGGUUGGGGGUUCGAGUCCCUCUAGGAGCU